rnacentral:lncRNA from 1 species
AUAUGUCCGCCAUUUAAUUGUUAAAGAAUAAAUCAGUAUCUGCAAGACAUGCUACACUAAUGUCUAUGUGACUCAUGGGAUUUAUAUGAGCCUUUCGUGUGUUCGUUUCGUCCCUCAAUAUUUGCUACUUGUUUUGCUUGUCGCCUUAGGCUUUUAUCCUUUUGAAACUCCAUAUAUGUCUAUGCUUUUUUCCCCUUUUUAGGAUUAGGAGUCCUAAACCCCGGGACUGACCGGUUAGGAUGGGUAUUAGCAUGCAAUAAGUAAACUAGACUAAUCGUGUUUAAUACCUUAACGGGGUGGGAAAGGUAGAAUAUGGAUAUGAUGAUUGGUGCG